UACGGAGGGGGCUAGCGUUGUUCGGAAUUACUGGGCGUAAAGCGCACGUAGGCGGAUUGACAAGUCAGAGGUGAAAUCCCAGGGCUCAACCUUGGAACUGCCUUUGAAACUGUUUGUCUUGAGGUCGAGAGAGGUGAGUGGAAUUCCGAGUGUAGAGGUGAAAUUCGUAGAUAUUCGGAGGAACACCAGAGGCGAAGGCGGCUCACUGGCUCGAUACUGACGCUGAGGUGCGAAAGCGUGGGGAGCAAACAGG
rnacentral:rRNA from 1 species